UACGUAGGGUGCAAGCGUUGCCCGGAUUUAUUGGGCGUAAAGGGCGCGUAGGCGGCUCUGCACGUUCGUUGUGAAAUCGCCCGGCUCAACUGGGCGGGGUCAGCGGAUACGGUGUGGCUAGAGCAAGCUAGGGGGCAAUGGAAUUCCCGGUGUAGUGGUGGAAUGCGUAGAUAUCGGGAGGAACACCAGUGGCGAAGGCGGUUGCCUGGAGCUUUGCUGACGCUGAUGCGCGAAAGCGUGGGGAGCGAUCCGG
rnacentral:rRNA from 1 species